rnacentral:rRNA from 1 species
UACGAAGGGGGCUAGCGUUGUUCGGAAUUACUGGGCGUAAAGCGCGCGCAGGCGGUUCUUUAAGUCCGGGGGGAAAGCCCAGAGCUCAACUCUGGAAUUGCCUUUGAAACUAGAGAACUUGGGUACGGGAGAGGUGAGUGGAAUUCCGAGUGUAGAGGUGAAAUUCGUAGAUAUUCGGAAGAACACCAGUGGCGAAGGUGGCUCACUGGCCCGUUACCGACGCUCAGGCGCGACAGCGUGGGGAGCAAACAGG